rnacentral:rRNA from 1 species
UACAGAGGUGGCAAGCGUUGUUCGGAAUUACUGGGCGUAAAGGGCGCGUAGGCGGCUUGGUCAGUCCCGUGUGAAAUCCCUCGGCUCAACUGAGGAACUGCACGGGAAACUGCCUGGCUUGAGUUCGGGAGAGGGAAGCGGAAUUCCGGGUGUAGCGGUGAAAUGCGUAGGUAUCUGGAGGCAUACCGGUGGCGAAGGCGGCAUCCUGGACCGGCAUUGACGCUGAGGAGCGAAAGCUAGGGGAGCAAACGGG